rnacentral:rRNA from 1 species
AGAUUGAACGCUGGCGGCAGGCCUAACACAUGCAAGUCGAGCGGUAGAGAGGUGCUUGCACCUCUUGAGAGCGGCGGACGGGUGAGUAAUGCCUAGGAAUCUGCCUAGUGGUGGGGGAUAACGUUCGGAAACGGACGCUAAUACCGCAUACGUCCUACGGGAGAAAGGGGCCGGUCGGUCCGCGCG